rnacentral:rRNA from 1 species
GUGAGGAAUAUUGCGCAAUGGAGGCAACUCUGACGCAGCCAUGCCGCGUGCAGGAAGAAGGCGCUACGCGUUGUAAACUGCUUUUAACCGGGAAGAAACCCCAGGACGUGUCCUGGGUUGACGGUACCGGAGGAAUAAGCACCGGCUAACUUCGUGCCAGCAGCCGCGGUAAUUCGAAGGGUGCAAGCGUUAUACGGAUUCAUUGGGUUUAAAGGGUGCGUAGGCGGAGCGUUAAGUCAGUGGUGAAAUCCUGCAGCUUAACUGUAGACUUGCCAUUGAUACUGGCGUUCUUGAGUGCGGUUGAAGUGGGCGGAAUGUGCCGUGUAGCGGUGAAAUGCUUAGAUAUGACACAGAACACCAAUUGCGAAGGCAGCUCACUAAGGCGAUACUGACGCUGAGGCACGAAAGCGUGGGGAUCAAACAGGAUUAGAAACCCCAGUAGUCC